GAGUUUGAUCCUGGCUCAGGAUGAACGCUGGCGGCGUGCCUAAUACAUGCAAGUCGAACGAAACUUCUUUAUCACCGAGUGCUUGCACUCACCGAUAAAGAGUUGAGUGGCGAACGGGUGAGUAACACGUGGGCAACCUGCCCAAAAGAGGGGGAUAACACUUGGAAACAGGUGCUAAUACCGCAUAACCAUAGUUACCGCAUGGUAACUAUGUAAAAGGUGGCUAUGCUACCGCUUUUGGAUGGGCCCGCGGCGCAUUAGCUAGUUGGUGAGGUAAAGGCUUACCAAGGCAAUGAUGCGUAGCCGAACUGAGAGGUUGAUCGGCCACAUUGGGACUGAGACACGGCCCAAACUCCUACGGGAGGCAGCAGUAGGGAAUCUUCCACAAUGGGCGAAAGCCUGAUGGAGCAACGCCGCGUGGGUGAAGAAGGUCUUCGGAUCGUAAAACCCUGUUGUUAGAGAAGAAAGUGCGUGAGAGUAACUGUUCACGUUUCGACGGUAUCUAACCAGAAAGCCACGGCUAACUACGUGCCAGCAGCCGCGGUAAUACGUAGGUGGCAAGCGUUAUCCGGAUUUAUUGGGCGUAAAGGGAACGCAGGCGGUCUUUUAAGUCUGAUGUGAAAGCCUUCGGCUUAACCGGAGUAGUGCAUUGGAAACUGGGAGACUUGAGUGCAGAAGAGGAGAGUGGAACUCCAUGUGUAGCGGUGAAAUGCGUAGAUAUAUGGAAGAACACCAGUGGCGAAAGCGGCUCUCUGGUCUGUAACUGACGCUGAGGUUCGAAAGCGUGGGGAGCAAACAGG
rnacentral:rRNA from 1 species